ensembl:lncRNA
UAAUAUUUAUUCCCCUGAAUAACAAAAUGAAUGAACAAAGAAAAUUAAAAUUUCUAGGCCUAUUUCUUUAUCUGUAUAAUUGGAAUUGUAUGCUCAUGUCAAAACUUAAUGAAGAAUAAACAGGGCAUCUGUCACAACACUGGGAAUUAGGUGACCCAAGUAAAGAUAUUAUUUCCCUCAUCAUAAUCCUUUACACAUAUUUAUUACUGUAUAUUGAGCAAAAAGAUCUACUCUUUGCCAUACACUGAUUUAUUACUCUUUAACUAGGACUAUAUCACUACUUAUACAAAGUUUUCUAUAUAGUAUGCAAUUUAUCCUUUAAACUUCUUUGAGAGAUGAAGCAGAAGAACAAAGAGAAUAAGAAUGAGAAGGAGGGAAGAGGUGGAUAGCAAAGGAGAUUUUCUUUUUCUAACCAACACAGGGAAUUCAGGGCCACAGAGUGAGUGAAUAUGCAGAACAAGAGCCAGGAUAGAAACCUCAUUUCACUGACUUUCAGCUCAACCCCUUUCCACUUGGCUACACUGCUCUAAAUGAGUUCCCGGACAAAAGGAUCUCUGAAAUAUGAAAGAAUGCUAAGGAGGGUGAUUCAUGGGAAGAAAUAUUGAAAUUUCCUAAAGGACAAUCUCUCAGUCAUUAGAAAGUCACUUUCUAAAGUUUGCACUGCACAGCAGGCAAGCUUUUAGGGCCUUCCAUUUACUUAUAAAUGAAAGCCAAAAAAGCAGAAUGAGGAGAAAAAAGAUGGGAAGUUUGAAUUCACUGUAAACAAUGAGACACUGAAAACUAGGUUUUUUCUGAGAAGUGAAAAUCAUUGGAAGGAUGCCAGGGAACUGAAUAAUACUAAAGUAGAAACUAAGAAAAAAAACCUGUAACUUCAACUGAAAAUCUAUUGGAAAUACAAAUGUGUAUGUGUGUGUGUGUGCGUGCGUAUGAGAGAGAGAGAGAGAGAGAGAGAGAGAGAGACAGAAAGAGACAGAGAAAUACCUCAGUUGUGAGAGAGGGCAUUAUAUUUAUACUCUCACUGAAGACUGGAAAAAUGUUAUUUUAUCACCCCUCUUUCUCUCUGUCUCAUUUUUCUUUAACCCACGAUUGUAGCAAUUGUGACUUAUCUAAUAUGUAUUAGAUAAUACACAUUAAUAAGAGUAAAGUGAAACAUGGAGGACCUCUAUAAAUGAUUUAAAUAUUUUCUUAAAAAAAUAAGCAAAAAAGGCCACUAAAUUUUGAAUAGAAAUGUGUAAAAUAAUAUGGUAAUGAUAUUUUAGUAAUCAAAAUUAAUGUACACAAAUUAACUGUCUUGAAUCCCUUUGAAAUUAAGGUGGUGAUGUUAUAGUCUUCAAGUCCCCUUUGAGGAGAUUAAACCCACAAGCUUCUGGCCAUGUCUCAUUGUAAUGCCCCUUCCCACACUUUGACCAGCCUGGGCUGCUCACUCCCUAAUAGAGAAGGAAUGUAGCCUAUUUCUCACCUGACCACCAUGUAACCUGUUCCCCAUGCAAAUAAGGUAUCCUGCCCAAGACCAAUCAGAAGAUCCAAUAUGCCUCAUACAAGAUCAAACAACACUUAGCCCUUACCCAUGACAUAGGGGGUUGGGGCAGGAGAAAUUGGUUCUCUACUCAGGUCCACAUUGUGGGGUAUAAAGAUAAUUGUAGAGUGAGUCAGGCCAUCGUUUUUAACACACUUGUGCUCUCUCUCUGAAAAUGUAACUUUUUGCUUUAAUACAUUUGUAAAACAUCUGCUUUUCCAAUGCUGUGCUACUGUAACUCUGACAGUAACUACUGUAACUCUAACAGUGAUAGAAAUGAGUAUAUUUUUAAGUGUUAUUUCACUAUUUUCUUUAUGAGUUAGGCUAUUCUCAGAUAUCACCUAAAAAUGUCAUUUUUCCUAAAAAUAAUGAUUGUUUGGCAUAUAAAUUUAAAAAAUCAGAGCAAUAAACUGAUCAGUAUAUAUUUGCCUUAGAAAAACUUGAAAACAAGUUUUGGAUUUUAAAGCAAAAUGCUUCUGGAAACUUUAUUACAAUAAUUUAACAUUCCUUCACUUUAAUUUCAGAAAAUAUUUUUCAUUAUUUUUGGUUUUCUAAGAGUAAUAAUGUUGAAUACCUAAGCUCCGUAUACCCACAAAUUGCUUUUCUUCAAAAGUUGUUAAGAGAGUGGGCUCUUAGACUUAGGGUGAUGUUUGUAGGUAGAAUCCACAUUGAAUUGGGUUACAUAGAAUUAUAGCUUUCUCUCUGGUCUAAACAAUACUAUAUGAUCAGCAUUUCCUCCAUAUCAUACCCUGGAUUCUGUGCACCAUCUAUGGAAUCAUAAGUAGUUUUUCAAUCAGCUGACUUUCAGAAUGGACCAAAAGGACAUGACCAUAAAUACUUUAAAUUACUCCAAGCCUAGAUUAUUUUGUAUUGCCUCAUGCUGAGUCACUGAGAUUAAACAGACCUGGUUUUGAAUGUGGCUAUACAAUUUUUAAGUUACUGUUUAAUACCUCCCCCAAAUAGUUAAGACUUCAUUGGCAAGAGGAGGGCAAUUGAUUUUCUUUAUAUCAAUUUCAUUAUGAAAUAAGGCUAAACAAUGUCAUGUUGUAUUAUCAAUGAUUAAACAUUAAAUACAUGUUUAUGAAAGAUUUGUCUUUCUUCUUUUUCUCCCUUCUUAAACUUAUCUCAGUAUUAAUUAGUACCCUGGAAGUGGGGAAAGGGUACUGGGUCCAGUUAUGGAGACAUGAUCAGGUCAACACGCUGAGAAAUGGUAAAUGGUAUACACAAGUAAGUACUUAUCUCCUUCAUGAUGAAAGGAUUAUUUAGAAGGUGAAUUAGGAGUUCCUGUCAAAGCUCAGGAGAAAGGAACCCGACUAGUAUCGACAAGGAUGUGGGUUCGAUCUCUGGCCCCACUGAGUGGGUUAAGGAUCCAGCGUUGCCAUGAGCUUCAGUGUAGGUUGCAGAUGUGACUUGGAUCCAGCAUUUCUGUGACUGUGGCAUAGGCCACAGCUAUAGCUCUGAUUAGACCCCUAGCCUGGGACCUUCCAUAUGCCACUGGUGCAGCCCUGAAAAAAAAAAUAAGAAUCAAGGGAUCCUUUAUUAUGUGUUAUAUAUGCUGAUAGUUUUGACUGCACUGUCUUAAAAAACACUGGUCUCUUAAGAUGCCAAAUAACUUUUUAGAGGGGUGAGAGGAAACAUGCAUUGUAUCGUCAUCCACUCCUGAUUUUCAUGGUCUCCAAAGAUCAGUUUUCUUGAUGAGAAAUGAAUAGGAAUCUUCUUGUUUUGCUGGAUUAGACUAUUAACUGGAGUUACAAAGCAAAGCAAGAAAAUAACAUUCGAUGUUAGGUGUAAAAUACAUAAUCAAGGAAUAGUUACACUAUAAAAUAUAUGUGGAUGAUAUGUACACCUUUGUAUAAUAACUUUUGCUUUUGCUUUUAUAGAGAAGAUUUAACAAAAUCUUUUAAAGGAAAUUUAUAGGAACCUCAUGAUGAAACAUAGAUUUAGCUUUCUCUUCACUCUAAUUUUUUAUUUCAGCAAGAAGAGAAAUAUAGGCUUUUCCUGGCUUUGCACAAGAUACCAUGAAGAAUUAAGGCCACUUUGUACAAAUUGAACUAAAAGGCUCAUUUGCUUGAGAUAGCCAAGUAACUCAAGAAAAUUACUUUGUAAGCUUAAAUUGUCCUGAUAACUGGCUCAAUUUUUCAUUUUUCUUUUUAAUCAGAGGUUGCACAUGUUUAAGUGGGUUUUAUUCUAACUUUACUGUAACUUGUUCAUACUUUAUUUAUAAAUGUCAGAAAUGAUAAAAUGAAUGAAUAUUAACUUUUUUGGGACUGUUGUUUAGGGACAUUCUUAGUAGGAUAAAAGAACGCUACUGGGCUUCUCAUUUACAUUAGUGAUAUAUAGGCUACUUUGGUUAUUUUUAUAUUCUACACAAGUUUUUUCCGUAACUAGUAUAUUUCUAACUACUGGGUUAAAGAGAAUCAUGAAAUCAUUUGGAAAAAUCUCUGAGUGUUAGGUGAUCCUAUGUUUCUUAUAAAUGAUACAUAUUAUGUGUUAUAUUUAUUAUAUAUUAUAUGGUAAAGAAAAUAUUCUUUCCUAAAAAAGUAAAACUGUAAAAUAUUAAAAUAAUGGAUUUGCUAUUCUCUUAGAAAUUUUAAAAGGGGAACUAAGCAAACAGAUCAUUGGCAUCUGGAUUGAACAAAAUGUUAUUUUUUUAUUCAUUAAAGUUAGAUUUGCCUCAAGAGGCAACUGCUGAACUAAAUCAGCAAAGUUAAUAGGAAACUUCUCCACAUACUUGGAAGGCAUAUUAUAAAUAAUUAUGUCAAUAACUAUAAAUGGAGAAUAGCCUUUAAACAAAGAAUUGUGUUACUACUUUAGAAGA